AUUCUGGUUUUGAUGGAAAUAGAACACAUUGCAGUAUUCAGACCAGGAGGUGAGGAAUACCUGGAUAACUCUGUGCCAGAUCUCUAUCUUGAUUGCAGAGAGCUUCCUGACCAGCUGGGAAU
rfam:Sarcophilus harrisii ctg7180002437843, whole genome shotgun sequence.